UACGGAGGAUGCAAGCGUUAUCCGGAAUGAUUGGGCGUAAAGCGUCCGCAGGUGGCUGUGUAAGUCUGCUGUCAAAGAGCGAAGCUCAACUUCGUAAAGGCAGUGGAAACUACACGGCUAGAGUGCGUUCGGGGCAGAGGGAAUUCCUGGUGUAGCGGUGAAAUGCGUAGAGAUUGGGAAGAACACCGGUGGCGAAAGCGCUCUACUGGGCCUGCACUGACACUGAGGGACGAAAGCUAGGGGAGCGAAAGGG
rnacentral:rRNA from 1 species